rnacentral:rRNA from 1 species
UGAGGAAUAUUGGGCAAUGCCCGAAAGGGUGACCCAGCAACGCCGCGUGGAGGAUGAAGGUCGUAAGAUUGUAAACUCCUGUUAGAGGGGAAGAAUAACUAAGUUUGGAGCUUAGUAUGACUGUACCCUCAGAGAAAGCCCCGGCUAACUACGUGCCAGCAGCCGCGGUAAUACGUAGGGGGCAAGCGUUGUCCGGAUUUACUGGUGUAAAGGGCGCGCAGGCGGAAUGGAAAGUCAGUGGUGAAAUCCUACAGCUUAACUGUAGAACUGCCUUUGAUACUUUCAUUCUUGAGUUCGGGAGAGAGAGACGGAAUUCCAGGUGUAGUGGUGAAAUACGUAGAUAUCUGGAAGAACACCAGUUGCGAAGGCGGUCUCUUGGUCCGACACUGACGCUGAGGCGCGAAAGCGUGGGGAGCAAACA